rnacentral:lncRNA from 1 species
UAUAUAGAUUGAUAGACUAUAGACUGACAAAUAGAUAGCUACAUGGAAAGAAAGAUAGAUAGAUAGAUAGAUAGAUAGAUAGAUAGAUAGAUAGAUAGAUAGAUAGAUAGAUAGAUAGAUAGAUAGACAGAUAGAUAGAUAGACCACAGACAUAGAUAGUCCACAGAUAUAGAUAGACCACAGAUAUAGAUGGAUAGAUAGAUAGAUAGACCACAGACAUAGAUAUACCACAGAUAUAGAUGGAUGGAUAGAUAGAUAGAUAGAUAGAUAGAUAGAUAGAUAGAUAGAUAGAUAGAUAGAUAGAUAGAUAGAUAGAUAGAUGGAUGGAUGGAUGGACCCCCCAGACACAGAAUGAUGCUCACAAGCUUUCGUCUAUUCUUUCAUGUAGAAUAUCUUAUAGUACGUCUUGUACUAGUUGAUGUCUUGAGCAGAAUGUGAACUGUGGUUGUUUUACUCGGAGUGUUAGGAUUCGUCUUAUGUAAUUUCUGGCUAACUUCUGUUUCAAAUGUAAUAUAUAACUCUUCUGAGUGUGUGUAGUAAUACUAAGGCGAGUAUUACUACACACACACACACAUACACACACACACACACAGAUGGAUGUGUACUACUGUGUGAAUUUUAUUGCAAUACUGCUAUAGUAUCAUCAAUAUAUUGCAAUAGAAAUAUUAAUGAUACACACACAACAGAAACUUGCAUCUAUCUAUCUAUCUAUCUAUCUAUCUAUCUAUCUAUCUAUCUAUCUAUCUAUCUAUCUAUCUAUCUAUCGAUCGAUCUGUCUGUCUGUCUGUCUGUCUGUCUGUGGAAAGACACCCAUUAACUCACACACACACUUGACACCAAUUCCAAAUGCACGAAAACAUGUAAAUCACAUACAAACAUCGCAGACACAUGUCCUACACACGCGCUCACACACGCAGAACGCAUACGCACAUGGUGACACAUGGUAGUUAACACAUAUGCACAUGGUAAUUUUUUGCGCGUAAAUUUAGGUACCAGUACAUACACAGAAAGUAACGUACAUUAUCCUCUCUUUCUCACACUUGCUCACACAUCGAAUUCACUGUUACGUGUAUUUCAUAAUAUAAUGUUCAACCUUAAGGCGGCGAGCUGGCAGAAUCGUUAGCACGCCAGGCGAAAUGCUUAGCAGUAUUCCGUCUGCCACUACGUUCUGGGUUCAAAUUCCACCGAGGUCGACUUUGCCUUUCAUCCUUUCGGGGUCGAUUAAAUAAGUACCAUUUGCGCGCUGGGGUCGAUAUAGUCGACUUAAUCCGUUUAUCUGUCCUUGUUUAUCCUCUCUGUGUUUAGCUCCUUGUGGGUAGUAAAGAAAUAGAAAUGCUUAGCGGUUCAAAUUCCGCCGAGGUCGACUUUUCCUUUCAUCCUUUCCAGGUCAAUAAAUUAAGUACCUUAAUCCCUUCGUCUGUUUGUCCUCUCUAUGUUUAGCUCCUUGUGGGCAAUAAAGAAAUAAGAAACGUUACCACGCCGGGCGAAAUUCUUAGCGGUAUUUCGUCUGUCUUUACGUUCUGAGUUCAAAUACCGCCGAGGUUGACUUUCAUCCUUUUGAGAUCGUUAAAUUACCAGUUGCGUACUGAGGUCGAUCUAAUCGACUGGCCCCUUCCCUCAAAAUUUCGGGCCUUGUGCCUAGAGAGGAAAAGAAUAUAAUUUUGAACCUCAAGGCGUCGAGCUGGCAGAAACGUUGACACACCGGGCGAAAUGCUUAGCGAUAUUUUGUCUGCCGCGACGUUCUGUGUUCAAAUUCCUUCCAGGUCGACUUUGCCCUUCAUCCUUUCGGGGUCGAUUAAAUAAGUACCAGUUACGAACUGGGGUCGAUGUAAUCGACUUAAUCCCUUUGUCUGUCCUUGUUUGUCCCCUCUAUGUUUAGCCCCCCCGUGGGCAAUAAAGAAUUAAAUAUGUUGAACCGGCGUAUGUAUCGGUAAUUUUUUUUUGCCUCAGCACAAGCCACAAAGUCGUGCCGACACACACCUAUAUGGAGAGAUGCACGGACAUACAAAUACAAACACACAUACACUUGUUCGCCACAUAUCCAGCAUUGCUUUCCACGACGAUUAUUUUUGUCCUUCAAUCAAAUAAACUACAGACACAUUGUAUUGUAGUUUAAUUGACUGUAAAUUUCAGUCAUUUAUAUUCUUAGUUUAACUCUCAGAUAUGCAUAUGGUGUGUGUGUGUGUGUGUGUGAAUGUGUGUGUGUGUGUUUGUGUGGCUAGUAUACAUGCAUAUGAGUUGGUAUAUAUGAGUAUAUAUAUGAAUGUAAUGUGUGAAUAUAUGUGUGUGCAUGCUUGUAUGUGUGUAAGUAUAUGGAUAUAUAUAUAUAUAUAUAUAUGUAUUUAUAUGUAGAUGUGUAUAUAUAUAUAUAUAUAUAUAUAUAUAUAUAUAUAUAUACACACACACACACACACACACACACACACACACACACACACACACACACGAAUACACACACACGAAUACACACACACACACACACACACACACACACACACACACACACACACACACACACACACACACAUAUAUAUAUAUAUAGCUUUUAUACAUACAUAGGAUUGUAAUGUAUGCAUGUAUAUAUAUGUGUGUCUGUGUGUGCAGGUGUGUGUGUGUAGUAAGAAGUUUCCUUCCCAACCACAUCGUUCUCGGCUCAGUCCCACUAAGUGGCACCUUGUCAAGUGCCUCGGGCGAACAUGAAUACUGGGGUCGAUUCUUUCGGCCAAAAUUCUUCUAAGCAGUGCUCCAGCAUAACCACAGUUUUGUGACUAAAACAAGUAAAAGAAUUAAAGAAUAAAGGAUUCUAUAUAUCUGUAUGUCUGUCUAUCUAUCUAUCUAUCUAUCUAUCUAUCUAUCUAUCUAUCUAUCUAUCUAUCUAUCUAUCUAUCUAUCUAUCUCUCUAUCUAUCUAUCUAUCUAUCUGUCACCUGUCACUAAAUAUUUGGUAAUUCUCUUGAACAAAACAUAAACAACUAUAUACAUAGGCUCACGAUUUGCUGUGGGUUAAGAAGCUUGCUUCCCAGUACAUAGUUCCGGCUUCAAUCCACUGCUUGGCACCUUCGGCAAGUGUCUUCUACUAUAGCCUAGGGCCGACAAAAGCCUUGUGAGUGGAUUUGGUAAACGGAAACUGAAAGAAGACUGCCGUAUAUAUAUAUAUGUGUGUGUGUGUGUGUGUGUGUGUGUGUGUGUGUGUGUGUGUGUGUGUGUGUGUGCGUGCGUACGUAUGUAUUUGUGUGUCUGUGCUUGACAACCGAUAUUGGUGUAUUUACGUCUCCUUAACUUAGCGUUUCAGGAAAAGAGACCGAUAGAAUAAGUACUAGGAUUACAAAGAAUAAGCCUUGGGACCGAUUUGUUCGACUAAAGGCGGUGCUUCAGCAUAACCGCAGUGAAAUGACUAAAGCAAGUAAAAUAAUAAAAGAAUACAUGCAUACAUACAUACAUGUAUACAUAAAUGCAUGUAUACAUACAUACAGUCAUACAUACAUACAUACACAUACACAUACAUAUCCAUAUAUAUACACACACACACAUAUAUAUAUAAAUGUUGGUAUGCAUGUAGCUGGCUUUAUGUAACUGUGCAUACAUACAUACAUACAUACAUACAUACAUCCAGACACACUUAUGUGUGUGUGUGUGUGUAUGUAUAUAUUCAUAUGUAUAUGUUUGCGUAUAUAGCGUAUAUGCCAGCGUAUAAGACGCCAAAUUCGCUAUACAUGUAUACCUACAUAUAAAAGCAUAUAUACCUACUUUGAUAUGAAAAUCUUGUAUUUUCACUUGACAUUACUUGUGUUUAUUUUAUAAAUGUGUGCGUAUGUAAUUGUGCGUUUUUGUGCACAUGCACACAUACAUACAUACAUACAUACAUACAUACACAGAUAGACAGACACAUACACACACACACACACACACACAUAUAUAUAUACAUACAUAUAGAAACCUACGCAAUGUUAAGAAAAAUAUAAAUGUAAGGUAAACUUACGAGCGUGUGUUUCCAAUUGCGUACUUUCACUAUGUUGUGAAAAAGUAAAGUCACAUUUUUUCAUUCACCGAGUCUACUAAAAGUGAUCGUUGAUACUAGAUUCAGCUUUUGAUAAAUCUUCCUCGUGAUAGGUUAUUCAUUCGGAGAAUAGUAGCUUAUAGUUAUUUAUAGUGCAUGCACGCUUGGACUGAAGCUCUGUGGUUUGUCAUAAUUGGAUAAUAGUGCAAACUUUGUGAAGGUAAAUUAAUUAAUUAAUAGAAGCACUAUAUAGCUAUUGGCUAAGUAUAAAUACGAAGUAAAUUUACGAACGUGUAAUCAUGCAUUUAGCCAUGCUCUGAAAACUUAGAUACUGUGGUUUAAUAUGUCUUUUAGAGUGAAACAAGUGAUAAAAUACGAGAAGGAGAGAGUGUUCGAACUGUUAGAGAUGUUAGGAGGUGAAAAGCGCAGAGGCUUUUGGUAGGUGGGAGAACUUAUUUGGUAGGUGGGAGAACUUAUAGUCACUGUGAUGCUCCGGUGUUGAAGUGGUGGAUAAAAGAUUCCCGCUAAAUGGUGAUCGUUGACUUUCUCCGGCUGUUGAAGACAGCGAUCUUUUUUGCAUUGAGGAUAACUGUCAAUCUGUAAUCACUGCUAAAUGUUUUAACGUAUCAGGUCAUCGCCUAAGAUCACGUACCAGCAAUCAAUGCUAUCUCUAGAUGUUCUAACCAAAGAAAGGUCCUCGCAUAAUUAUAUAGUUAAUCACUGCUCUGCACAGUUCAUCUGUCGUGCCACACGUCAUCAUCUGAAACUUUCCAUAAGUUCUAAAUUAGCAUAAAUUCUUAUCUGGACUCAUCUAUGCAUUUUUUUUUUGUUUGCAUAUUCUGUCAUAGUACUUCAAUACGGGUGUCUGGGAGUAAUUAUCGUUAUCAUCAAAUGGUUUACUGUCCUUCUUUGCGUAGGAACAUAUAUGAACAAUCACUGCUGUUUAAUCUUCUGGGUUCAUUUAUUAACAUCGACUGCUGUCACAAUGUAUUUCUCCUAUUCCGUCGUAUGCGUCCAUAUACCAAGAAUCAUUUAAAUCACCAGUUGUUCUAUCUCGUCUUUACUAGAUGUUAUACUUGAGUCCAUCUAUUUGUAAUCGCAGCUAGUACCAGUUAUUUUCUCUUCUCUCACAGUUAUACACUUUAGACCAUCUAUUCAUAAUCACAGCUAUUUUGCAAGUGUUUUACCUAACCAUUGACGGUUGUGCCCCUUAUAAUAUCCAUCCAGACAUUCUACCUAAUCUUUCAUAGUUAUACUCCUGACUAUAUCUUGCAACACUUACAGCUAAACCAGAUGUUCUACCGAUCCUGUUAUAGCGAUACAUAAGAGACCAUAUAUCAGCAAUCAAAGCUACUCUUGAUUUUCUACGUAACCUGUGAUAGUUUUGCAUCUGAGACCAUCUAGUCCAGAUGUUAUACCUAACAUUCCAAACACCUGAGAAUAUGUGUCCGGGUUCUCACUCUUUCCCCGGUUGGUUUUAAUCGUAUGCAUAACAUUAAAACUCUGAAUUUUAUUUCAGUGCGGUUUGACACACAUACACGCUUACACAUGAACCCCACCACGUGCACUCAGCCACAAGCACGUCUAUCCUUUCAUUGAACCUUCAAUAUAUAUUCCUUUACUUACACACUCACUGUCAUAGUAAGAUAUUAAAUAAGAUCUACGUUAAUUCUAGUUAUUUAACUAGUAAGAAUUUCGCAGAGGUUACAAUAUUGGAAGGUUAAAUAAAACAAGACGAAGCAGCUGACCAACACCAAUCAUGCAUCGUAAGAAUUGCCCACUAGUUAGUUAGUUAGUUAGUUAGUUAGUUAGUUAGUUAGUUAGUUAGUUAGUUAAUUUGGCUCAAAAGCAAAUAGCAAGGCCAUGUAGGGGGACAUGGAGUUAAGUACAGGGUGGUGUUCAUGUAGAGUUCAGGCCACUUGAGGUCAAGGGAGGCUUUGAACAAAGCGGUCGUCGGCAUCUUCACCAUCUCGUCUGGCAGCUUGUUCCACGGAUCCGCAACCCGGACGGAGAAAGCUCCUCUCCUUCGAUUGAGAUGAAAUCGUCGCAGGUAGAGCUUUUCGGAAUGGCCCCGCAGCCGACGCUCUGGAGCAGGAGUGAAGAGCAGCUCUUUCGAGAGGUUACGCUUUCCGCUUAUGAUGUUGUGGGCGAGAAUGAGAUCACCACGGCGGCGGCGUUUUUCUAGAGAAUAAAGGUCGAGCGUCCUCAGCCUUUCUUCAUAGGACAAAUUUUUGAGACCAUGAACCAUGCGGGUAGAUGGUAACUGUUCAGCAAAAUUGAUAGUUACGGCGCUAAAGAAGAAACAGGCAACAUGAAAUGUACUCAAAGUAUGUAUAUUUUAUAACUACUGAUUAAAACAAUGCUCUUCAGUUUUGUUAAAAUUUAUAUGGUACUUACGUGAGGCAAGUCAUUAUGCAUUUAGGAUCACCUGAGCGAUUGUAGAUAAGGCACAACCAUAACAAUAGCUUCAGAUUAAAAAAAAAUUAUUGGGUGACUUCUGAGCGAAAAAUUAAGAAUUUCAUUUCAAGGAAAUAACGGUUUGAACAAAGAAACAGAAUUAUUAGCACUUGGAGCAAAGUACCAUUUGUAUAAGUACCAACCUCAUUCCUUUUCGAUCUGGUUCGGAGAAAAACAGUUGGUUGAGAAGUAUGCUUCAAAAAUUGCUUUAAAUACCAACGGAAGGUCUGAAGGAAAGAGUUCUUAGAGAAACCGCUGUUGUGAAAGAUUUAGAAUAUUCUAACGAAAGCCAGAAAUAAGGAACUCGAAAGCGUCAAAGAACCUACUUUAUGUAUAAUGUUUCAAAUAUAUUCAAAUAUCAGGUAAUUUAAGAGAAAACAUGCUCGCUUUACCAGAAGAGAAUAAAUGUGACAUUCAGGGAGCUGGCAAUUUAGAGCACCUUAUAUUUAUGUAUUGAGUUCUAUAAUUUCUCGCCUCAUGGUUAAUCAGCAAAAGUUUACACACACACACACACACACACAUACAUACAUACAUACAUACAUACAUACAUACAUACAUACAUACAUACAUACAUACAUACAUACAUAUCAGUCGCUAAGUAAUGAUCAAGAGAAAUGAACUGUACAAACGUAGUUCAGUAGUUUAUAUAGGCCAGACCAGUCAGCUCUUACAAUGAACCUUCCACAGCGUACAGCCAAGUCAAACUAGGCUCAGAUUGACUUGUCUGAAGAAGUGAUUGCAGGCUGUGGAAACUUCACACUGACAGACACCUGAACCGAACUAGAUAAACAAUAUAUAUAUAUAUGUGUGUGUGUGUGUAUAAAUAUUAUGGAGCCACACAAGUGCAUACACAGACGCACACACACGUAUGCAUGCACACAAACACAUACACACACACACACACCACAUACGCGCGCGCGCGCAAACACGCACAGAAUGUAUAACCUAGUAAAUUUGAUCUAAAAGGCUUUUCCUUAAAGCGAUAUGUAUGUGAAAUGCGUAUGAAUACAUGUAUGGAGAGAGAGAGAUGGAGAGAGAGAAAGAGAGGAAGAGAGAGAGAGAGAGAGAUGGAGAGAGAGAAAGAGAGGAGAGAGAGAGAGAGAGAGAGAGAGAAAGGCCAUUUCGCAUAAUUGCAUAUAGGAUAAUUUUAUAAUCAGGUUAAUUGCAUAACUUUUGAAAAUACCAAAUCGUUUGGCAUCGAAUGUAUGUAAAAAUGACCGGUUAAUUGCAUCUGCAAAUAAAGUCCAUUUCAGUUAACUGCAUAAGAUAUUUUGUCAUUUUUUUUAGUAGAAAUUUUAACGAAAUCUAACAAAAUAAAUGAUUUAUUUAAUUCGAUAGAGCCUCCGUUUUCAUUAGGAGUUGAAAUGAAAGCAUUUCAUGUUUACAAAUAACCGAUAUCAAAAGAGCGAAAUGUAUUCAAGUUAUUCUUACCAUUUCAAUGAAUUAUAGUUAAAAUUCAGAAUCUGGUGUAUCUUUAUCUUAUUAGUAAUUGUAUAAAAUUUUUCAAUAAAUAAAUCUAUAUUCUAUAUGAAAUUUGUAAAACGUUAGUUUUGAAUCAAGCUGUGAAUGGACGCCAUAUUGUAUGACUUCAUUAUCAUUUACAUUAGCCAGAGAUUUACACAAUGAAAUUUUUCUUUAACCCUUGUAACCUUAGUUGUUAUCGUUUAGUAAUUCAAAGUAUUUGAAAAGCAUUGACGGACGUAUGGAUCUGUCUAAGCUUGGGUAAUUGAAGAAUAUCAAAGGAAAUUGAAGAACCUAAUAAUUCGAUUGUAAAGCGAUUGCUAUGGUGAUAUAUAUCAACAAAAGGAAUUGGUUCGACUGGAUGCAACGAAAGUGAAUUAUGUGAACACAAAACGAACUGUAAGUAAAAUAAAAACAAUUAUAUUGGUUUUAUUUACGAUAUAGUUCACACAUGUGUAACAUAAUCAUAAUAUCUUAUUGCUGACAAUCCUGUGAGCCAAUGAGGGAACACCACUUGUUCGCUCAACUUGGUAGAAGCAUCAGCUAAAUCGCUAUGAAACCAAUACUUCCUUGUUUUAGGAAAAGACAUGUUAGAUAAUACAUGCAUGAUUUCCUUGGACAAACAUAGAAUGUUAACUGACGAAAUGCUUUCAAUCAUAAAUCAGCUCAUUUAGUACUGAUCUCGGGUAAAUUACAACGACGAAGGCUGCGACAACAACUAUUCAUGCUCGCUGCUCUUGAGAGAUGUCGAUCAUUUAUCACUAUGUCUGGAUAGACGAGAUGAUCACUUCUAGAGUGUGGUUGAGCGUAGGAGUCCUUGACCAGUGUCAUCCUUGGUCUAAAGAACACGAAAAUGAUUCUUGAAUAAUGUACAUCUUCCAGUUAAAAUCAUAAAACUUUAGAAUAGGAAUAUACAGUUCAUGUUCAUGUGUUUGUAUGCAUGCAUUACUUAUGUAUUAGGUGUGUGUGUGUAUAUAUAUAUAUAUAUAUUUCUUUACUGCCCACAAGGGGCUAAACAUAGAGGACAGACAAAGGGAUUAAGUCAAUUACAUCGACACCAGUGCGUAACUGGUACUUUAUUUAUCGACCUCGAAAGGAUGAAAGGCAAAGUCCACCUCGGCGGAAUUUGAACUCAGAACGUAACGGCAGACGAAAUACGGCUACGCAUUUCGCCCGGCGUGCUAACGUUUCUGCCAGCUCACCGCCUUGUAUAUAUAUAUAUAUAAACACAUAUAUACAUGCAUGUAUACAUAACAAUAAACAUAUGCACACAUACACAUAUAUAUGUGUAUAGGGAUAUAUAUUUAUACAUUUUUUUUUUUGGAAUAUCUUGAAGCACACACAUAAUCCUUUAAAUAACAGCAAGUAAAUAUUGAGUUAAUAAACAACUUUAGAUGGAAAAUGUCGUAGUUUACAUAUCAAUACUCAUAGCUUUAUGCGUGCGCUUCGAGAUAUUAAAGAAAAACUUAAUUCACGUUCUGUUAAAGGUUUGCCAUUACGAUUUUAGUUUUGAACUGGUAUCGAACUGAAGACAAUUCGCAUUCGAGGAUACUGAACAUAACUCUGAGAUCAACAUCUUUAGUGUCCCUUAUAUGUAUAUCAUUGAUCUUCCUGUCCUUUCUCUUUGGAAAAUCUUUCGUAACUAUGCCCCGUUCAACACUAUUAUCCUCUUCUUACUUUCUAUCACUUUCUUAUCUAUGAUACCAUACAUGGAUAUUCAACUGCUCCGCCCCAAUUCCAUCCAUCCAUCCAUCCAUCCAUCCAUCCAUCCAUCCAUCCAUCCACUCCUCACACACACAUAGGUAUGGUUGUGUGCCAAGCCGUUUACUUCCCAACCACAUGAUUUCACGUUCAGUCUCACGGUGUGGCAUCGUUGACAAGUGUCUUCUACUAUAGGCUCAGUUUAACCGAAGCCUUGUGAGUUUAUUUGGUACACAGAAACGAAAACAAGCCCGUCGUGCAUGCACACACACACACACACACACACACACACACACACACACACACACACACACACACACACACACACACGCACACACACUCACAUGAAAUUAAUAGAAGAUGGAAUAAACAGGAUUUAAUUACAUAUUAUAGCAUUUGUUUCUGUGCAAUGACAGCAGCUUGAAGUUGGUGAGUUUUAAUAUUCAUAGCAUUAUAGAAAAUUAUUUUAUAAAUGAUUAAAUGAUUACAUAAAUAUAUAUGAUCCAGCAACAGCCGUGUGCCGGCACUUCAUUGCGUAGAUUACUUUUGAAGCAAUAUGUAUGUGUGUAUAUAUAUGUGUGUGUGUGUGUGUGCGUGUGUGUGUGUGUGUGUAUACAUUUAUCAGUUUGUGCAGCAUGAUGGAGUAAGUGGAGCAAGAGCACACACGAAAACGAAAAGUGUCGUUGAAGAGGUCACAGAUGUGUGACGAAAGAUUUCCGGCCAAUGAAUGGACAUGAGUUGAAAAAAAUAAUGAACAGUAGUAAAUGACUGAAGAACAAAUAUGUAAUGCGUGUGUUUAUUUGGCAUAAAUAAAUAAAUAAAUGAAUAAAUAAAUAAAUAAAUAAAAAUGACCAUCCCGAAAUUCAAUACAUUUAUAUAUAUAUAUAUAGUGUGUGUGUGUGUCCCUCCCCUCGCACUAUCUAUUUAGUCCUUCUCACUAGCUCUCUCUCUCUCUCUCUCUCUCUCUCUCUCUCUCUCUCUCUCUCUCUCUCUCUCUCUGUGUUUCUCCAGAUAACUUUCCCGCCUUUUAGAGUCAGAAUGAAUUUCGUAUCAGGAGCUCUGGUGCUGUUGAAGUUGGUGGUGAUGCCUAGUGGUAGUGAUGUUUACGAUGAUAAUGACUAUGGUGGCAUUGAUUGAAUGCUGUGAUCCUAGCGCUGAUGAGGACAUUGAUGAUGCUGUUCAUGAUGAUGGAAAUUUCUGAAGUUAUAAUAUUUAUUUCUUUAUUGCCCACAGGGGAUUAAACAUAGAGGGAAUAGACAAAGGGAUUAAAUCGAUCCCAGUGCGUAACUGGUACUUAUUUAAUCGACCCCGAAAUGAUGAAAGGAAAAGUGGACCUCGGCGGAAUUUGAACUCAGAAUGUAGCGGCAAACGAAAUACCGCCCAGCAUUUCACCCGGCGUGCUAACGAUUCUGCCAGCUUAAUAUUGAUGGCGAUUCUGCUGCUGGAUGUUCAGUGUGGUGGGUAUGACUGUAUCGGAAUUUGUGGUUGUAGAGAUGAUGAUGAUCUUUGUUGUUUCAGAUUUUCUUUCUGUGUCUGUCUGUCUAUCUAUCUAUCUAUCUAUCUAUCUAUCUAUCUAUCUAUCUAUCUAUCUAUCUAUCUAUCUAUCUAUCUAUCUAUCUAUCUAUCUAUCUAUCUAGUUGUCUGUCUCUCUGUCUAUCUAUUUGGCUGUCUGUGUAUCUAUUUGUCUCUCUCUCUCUCUCUCUCUCUCUCUCUCUAUCUAUAUAUUUGUCUAUCCGUUUGUCCAUCCAUCCAUCCAUCCAUCCAUCCAUCCAUCCAUAUCUGCCUAUUUAUCUGCCUGUCUCUAUUUUCUAACUUCAACAACCUUCCUAACUACCACCCUAGACAACCACUUACCCGCCUAUCUAUGUAGACAACCACUCAGCCAGUCCCCUACCUAACCAACUGUUUGUCUGGCUGUCUGAUAAUCAGAAUAGCUGACUGUCUGGCAGUUUGUUUCUACGCCAUCCUAUAGACAUGUCUACAUACCUGCCUCUUUACCUGUCUGCGUGCCUGUCUGUGUGUCAGCCUGUGUGCCUGUAAGCAAGACAAACUUUUGAUAAAUAGUUAAAGGUGGGUGGGGGGGGACUGCUGUCUGGUAAGCGACAUUCCUGAGAGCCAUCGCCAUUGAUAGCGAAUAUUAAAGAAAGCAAACUAAUUUACAUAGACGCAUGAGUACAAGCAUAUACAUACAAACGCACAUAAACACACACGCACACUCACACACGUAACUAUAUAGAUACAGACACACUAGCAUACGCUAUCCAACACACAUAGCACGCACGCAUUCAUACAGCCAUUCAAACACUCACAAAAUGAUACACACACAUACACACACACACACACAUACACACACACAGAGACACACACACAGAGACACACACACACACACACACACACACACACACACACACACACACAUACACACACACACACACACACAAAGAGACACACGCAGACACAGACACACACACACACGUACAAAAAUGCAAAUACAUUCAACGCUCACAGAUGCACACGAAUUGACUACUUCCUCCUUUCUCUUCCAUCCCUCAUUCUUCUCUCCUUUUCUUUGUCUUCCUCCCUCCCCCAUUAUUAGUCUUAUCCUCCUCUUCCACUCUUUCUCAUCCUCCCUAUCGUACAAAACCUCUGUUUCUUCAUCUUCUUGUUUCUCCUUUUGUCCAUCUUUCACACAACCACCUUCCCCUUCUUAUGCCUUUUCUUUACUCUCUUAUCCUAUUCCCUCUUUUCUCCUCCGACUCAAACCCCUCCCAGAACCCUCUAAAAAUACUUUUCACACACUUUCUCUAUACACCUCCUCUUCUCCCCCAACGUCGCUCUCAUCUCUUCAAUGGCUACUAUACAACCUCCCCUGCUCACACUCCAGU